rnacentral:lncRNA from 1 species
GUAAUACAGAUGGUGGGAAGAACAGGGUACUAUGGCAUCUGCUGUGGAAAGAAGAUAGAUCUAGGUGAUGGUUAAGUCUAAGACAAAGGAGGAGUAAAAUCAUCAAGGAAAGCAGGAGAGAGGGAAGGAAGUGGAAAGCAGACAAAAAAAAAAAAAAAACAACAGCAGCUGUAGAAGCCUGAGAAGAUGAGAGAGUCAAGUCCUUAGAGGGACUGAAAGCAGAGACAUAACGGCACAAAACGAGAUGGGAAAGUGACGGAGCAAUACAUGAGUCUGUAAUGAGUGGGAUUUAGGUGGGCAGCAGCACUUGGUUAUUUACAAGUUCAGGAUCCUGUUUAUAAAGCAAGGAAAGAUUGCUAUCUGUCUCCAGCACUAUGGCGAGAUAAUUAAUAGGAGCACUGCUGGAGACUGAUAGUGCAGGCGGCCGAUACCCAUGGCAGGAGCUCUCGUCAUCUAACUGCCACAGAAUUGUGAAGGUAAAGAAUCUGCAGAAAAGUGGAACAUUCAUUUUUACUAAAUAAAUGCAUUAUCUAUAGCACACAUUAUAGAGUUUUGUUGUUGUUGUUGUUAAUCUAACAUGUAACAGAAAUAAAAGAGAUUGUUUCUAAACCACUUUAAACUGUUCUGGCAACUACCUUAGACCCUUCUGGC